CCUACGGGGGGCUGCAGUGGGGAAUAUUGGACAAUGGGCGAAAGCCUGAUCCAGCCAUGCCGCGUGUGUGAAGAAGGCCUUCGGGUUGUAAAGCACUUUCAGUGGGGAAGAAAGCCUUGGGGCUAAUACCCUCGAGGAAGGACAUCACCCACAGAAGAAGCACCGGCUAACUCCGUGCCAGCAGCCGCGGUAAUACGGAGGGGCGAGCGUUAAUCGGAAUUACUGGGCGUAAAGCGCGCGUAGGCGGUCUGAUAAGCCGGUUGUGAAAGCCCCGGGCUCAACCUGGGAACGGCAUCCGGAACUGUCAGGCUAGAGUGCAGGAGAGGAAGGUAGAAUUCCCGGUGUAGCGGUGAAAUGCGUAGAGAUCGGGAGGAAUACCAGUGGCGAAGGCGGCCUUCUGGACUGACACUGACGCUGAGGUGCGAAAGCGUGGGUAGCAAACAGGAUUAGAUACCCGAGUAGUC
rnacentral:rRNA from 1 species